rnacentral:rRNA from 1 species
UACGUAGGUGGCAAGCGUUGUCCGGAUUUACUGGGCGUAAAGAGCGCGCAGGCGGUCGAUUUAGUCGCGUGUGAAAGCCCCCGGCUCAACUGGGGAGGGUCACGCGAUACUGAUCGACUCGAAGGCAGGAGAGGGUAGUGGAAUUCCCGGUGUAGUGGUGAAAUGCGCAGAUAUCAGGAGGAACACCGGUGGCGAAGGCGGGUCUCUGGGCCGAUACUGACGCUGAGGAGCGAAAGCGUGGGGAGCGAACAGG